rnacentral:rRNA from 1 species
AGAAUCAACGCUGGCGGCGUGCCUAACACAUGCAAGUCGAACGAGAAAGUGGAGCAAUCCAUGAGUAAAGUGGCGACCGGGUGAGUAACACGUGACUAACCUACCUUCGAGUGGGGGAUAACAUCGGGAAACCGAUGCUAAUACCGCAUAACAUCGCAAGAUCAAAGCAGUAAUGCGCUUGAAGAGGGGGUCGCGGCUGAUUAGCUAGUUGGCGGGUAACGCCCACCAAGCGAAGAUCGGUAGCCGGCCUGAGAGGGCGCACGGCCACACUGGAACUGAAACACGGUCCAGACUCCUACGGGAGGCAGCAGUGGGGAAUUUUUGCGCAAUGGGGGAAACCCUGACGCAGCAACGCCGCGUGGAGGAUGAAGCCCCUUGGGGCGUAAACUCCUUUCGACCAAGACGAUAAUGACGGUACUGGUGGAAGAAGCACCGGCUAACUCUGCGCCAGCAGCCGC